UGUGCACAUAGGCACCUGGGGAGACAAUUACGUGGUUGACAUGACGUCCCCAACAAGGGGAUCCGUCAGAUAGCAAGUCUAAAUUUCUAAAAAAGACGUGGUUGAGAAAAAUUUAAAAAAAAGAUGUGGUUGAGAAAAAUUUAAUGAAGCAUGGAAAAAAUUAAACAUGACAGCAUAACCAAUUUGAUGACUCGGUGAAUCCCAUUUUAUAGCAGGAUCCAAGACUGCCCAG
rnacentral:lncRNA from 1 species